UGAGCAAUCUGCCCUUCACAUCGGAAUAACCAUUGGAAACGAUGGCUAAUACCGAAUAUGACUUCGGAUCGCAUGAUCUGAAGUGGAAAGCUCCGGCGGUGAAGGAUGAGCUCGCGGCCUAUCAGCUUGUUGGUGAGGUAAUAGCUCACCAAGGCGAUGACGGGUAGCCGGCCUGAGAGGGUGACCGGCCACACUGGGACUGAGACACCGGCAGUA
rnacentral:rRNA from 1 species